GACGAACGCUGGCGGCGUGCCUAAUACAUGCAAGUAGAACGCACAGUUUAUACCGUAGCUUGCUACACCAUAGACUGUGAGUUGCGAACGGGUGAGUAACGCGUAGGUAACCUGCCUGGUAGCGGGGGAUAACUAUUGGAAACGAUAGCUAAUACCGCAUAAUAUUAAUUAUUGCAUGAUAAUUAAUUGAAAGGUGCAAUUGCACCACUACCAGAUGGACCUGCGUUGUAUUAGCUAGUAGGUGAGGUAACGGCUCACCUAGGCGACGAUACAUAGCCGACCUGAGAGGGUGAUCGGCCACACUGGGACUGAGACACGGCCCAGACUCCUACGGGAGGCAGCAGUAGGGAAUCUUCGGCAAUGGACGAAAGUCUGACCGAGCAACGCCGCGUGAGUGAAGAAGGUUUUCGGAUCGUAAAGCUCUGUUGUAAGAGAAGAACGGGUGUGAGAGUGGAAAGUUCACACUGCGACGGUAUCUUACCAGAAAGGGACGGCUAACUACGUG
rnacentral:rRNA from 1 species